CCCUACGGGGCGCAGCAGUGGGGGAUAUUGCACAAUGGGGGAAACCCUGAUGCAGCGACGCCGCGUGUGGGAAGACGGUCCUCUGGAUUGUAAACCACUGUCCCCAGGGACGAAGAUGACGGUACCUGGGGAGGAAGCUCCGGCUAACUACGUGCCAGCAGCCGCGGUAAUACGUAGGGAGCGAGCGUUGUCCGGAAUUACUGGGUGUACAGGGAGCGCAGGCGGGAAGCCAAGUCAGCUGUGAAAACUACGGGCUUAACUUGUAGACUGCAGUUGA
rnacentral:rRNA from 1 species